rnacentral:lncRNA from 1 species
UGCAGCACAGCGCAGCGCUCCUGGAGAGGCUGUGGGUUCGUGGCAUCCGCGCCGCGGCCGCAAGUAUAGCAGGUUUCGUACCUGGUGUUCAUCGCCGUUAAGUCAUCGCUGCUGCCACCCAGGCACGGCUCUCUAUGCCGCCGCUCCCUCCACCCUCUAGGCACUGCCUGCCGUAAGAAUUUUAACUGCGACACUCGCUUCAGCAGGACAAGCAGAAGGCCUCUGCGCGGGAAUGAAAGUGCGCAUGCGUAAGAGGGAGCAUGUUGGCCGUUUAACACUACGCCCUCCGCCCGCCGCGUCCGCCGCCUGAAGGAAGCUUCUUUUCCCGCGCCUCGCGCGCUAGCGCGGGUGGCAGAGAAGGAAGUGACGCACCGGGAUUUUAUUGGCUGCAGACACACGCAGCAUCUUCUUGCGCUCCUCCUUGAGGUGGAUGGGCAGCUAGCUGGAGAUGACACAGGAUGAUGCGCAUCUUUCGCACGCUGGCUCCAAGAUCUCCGCUGCCAGAUGCAGCAACAAAGCUUCUUUGUACAGACAGCCCUGGACACACUUCCAGCAGCAAUUCUUCUUGCAGGAACUGGUGCAAGAACAGGAUUUAUUCGUGGCACAGGAGCAGUUGGUGUCCACUGGGAGUGGAGGCAGAAGAGAGACCAGAGCGGGUAUGUUAGGAGAGAAAGCAGUGACUUCAACAGAAGUGGAGUAAAUAAAGAUGAUCACAGAACUUGGAAGCUGACGAAAUUAAUUUUGGAAAAGAGCUGGCUUGGAGCAUGACAGAAGAAUUCGAUGGAAAGAGUGCUGGGAGCCCAACUCAAGACUGAUGUGUGCUUGGCAGGCAGUCUACCCCCGAUCUCAGUCCUCCAGCCUUUCGGCCUUUUUUCCUUUUUGGAGACAGAAUUGCAUCAUAUGGCAUCCUACACAGUCCUGCCUCAGUCUCUGCAGUGCUGGGAUUGUAGGCCUAUGCCACCUAGCCUUUCUACAAUACAAACAAAUAUGAAAAGAAGAGGGACUUCUUUGGAAAGGAGUACAGGGACUAUGGAAGAGAUGAAAAGAUAAUAUUGUCAGAAAUUAUGCCGCUUUUGAAGAGAUAAACUGAACUCUUGAUUCUGUGAGGUUAUUAAAGAAUAUUAAUUUUCAAAUCACGGUAAAAUCUUGAUUCAGCAACACAUGAGGAUAAUCAUUGUGUCCAUGGAAACCUUGGGAAGCAGUUGAAAGCCUGGUCCCUCUUGCCUGGAGCAUUAACACAACGUGGCUGCAAAGUUAGUCCUUUCCCGCUACCAUCUCCUGAAUACUGGGACUAACUACACGUAUGCACGAACCUGCCCAUCUUUGCCUCUGUUAACAGCUGCCACUGUCUCUUCACGACAUGAUGGCUGACCUAGGUUGGAAGGAACAGAGCCAGUUGGCCAUGGACUGAAACUUUUGGAACGGAUUCUGAGGAGUUAAUGUUUCCAUGAAUAUCUCAGAAGGAGAUGUGGACAAACGAACAGUUAUCUCACUCCUGUAGCUAUCUUUCUUAUCCAGCCCAGGCCCUCCCACCGAGAAGUGGCACUAACCACCACAGGUCAAUAUAAUGGAGACAGUUCUUCAAUUGAUGUUCCCCCUUCCCAGGGGUUUCAUUUGCAAAUGCCUGCAGGAUCCAGAUGGGGGACAUGUGUGAGAUGGCUCCUGGUAUUCAUUCUCUCUCUCUUUCUCUCUCUCUCUCUCUCUCUCUCUCUCUCUCUCUCUCUCAAAGCUGGGUUUUGUGGUGUUUUUUCUUUAUCAGAGAGAUUACCGGAUGCCAAGGGACAGAUGGUGGAUCUAAGAGGAUGGGAGAGUAUUUGAGGCCCCGACCCAUUUAAUGUGCAAAAUGCAUCUAAAGAGAAAGGCUAGUGGGCUGGUGAGAUGGCUCAGUGGGUUAGAGCACCCGACUGCUCUUCCGAAGGUCCAGAGUUCAAAUCCCAGGGCAGCCAGGACUAUACAGAGAAACCCUGUCUCAAAAAAAAAACAAAAAACAAAACAAAAAAAAAGAGUCUCAGAGAGAUCUCAGUGGGAUUCUAUUUGUUGAUAAAAAACAAAACAAAACAAAACCAAUUAAAUAACUAAAAUGAAAAAUUUUUGUAAGAAAAGGUAUGUGACUAUCUUAGUAUAUCUGAGUUCAACUAUCUGACUUAAUGCAUGUGUUUGUUUAUGUAUUUUAUUAGUAUAGUCUGUUGUUUGUGUUUUUUUAGACAGGUCCUAAUCUUAAUGUACACCUUUUUACCUUGAAUUAAAACAUAGCCAAGGAUGGUCUCGACUCUUAGCUUUGUGCAGUUUUUACAAAUUUCUGAUACACUGCUGUUCUAAGAAGUACUUUUAUUGUUUAAUCUUAGGUGUCUCCUAUGUAUUCCUAAUUGACCUGAAACUAACUAACCUGGCCUGAAACUCACAGCAAAUCUCCUGUUCCCACCUCCUGCGUCCUCAGUCGACAUGUGUGCACCACCAUGUCCUUCACUAACAUUGUUUUAGUUUAUAGUGCAGUCAUUUCUUAUCCACUCUCUUACCUGGGAUAUUGUCCACAGAACAACACUUGCCAUAAUAAACAGGGUCAUCAUUUUCUAAAUAUUAGCAUAUAUUAGUUUUUUUUUAAGUAUGGUGUAUUUGUGACACUCAGGUUUUUUAGUAUAGUUCAUUUGUGACAUUUUUGUAGGCUUAAAUCUUUCUUACAUCGUUGUAAUUAUGCAAUAUUUUCCUUUUGUGUCCAGCAUACUUUACUUAACAUAGUAUCCUUCAUGUUCAUGCAUCAUGUAUAUUUGAGAAGUAUUUCAUUGUAUGGACAUGAAUUUUGCUUGGCCAUUCAUGUUGUUCCUAUAACUCUUUAUAUGGCUACAUUUUGUUCUUGUGCUAUGUGUACAUAGAGCUACUCUGAAGCAUGCUUGUUGCUUUUAGCUAUAGGAAGGAAUUCUAUCAGGACAGGAUUCUUUACAUCUUACAAUAAAAUCCUUCAAAUUCACUUAAAUAUGAAGAUACGGGAUUGGGCUACGUAUGCAGUUGGUCCUCCACUUCACAAAUAUGCUUUUCCUUUUUCUGUAAAUAUGCUUUUAUUUUAUGCACAAAUAUGCUUUUCCUCUUCUGUAAAAUUCCAGCUGAGCCUCUGUAUUUGCUUUUUGAAAAAAUUUGCUAUUGAGGAUUAUAUAAAAUCAUUUCAAUUUAGCACGCAGAAAUUAUAAAGUUAUAAAGUAUAUAUGCUGAUUUCUGUAAAUUUGACAGAAGUUUUAGAACAUUAGGGUGGGGGAAAGGGUCUCAUUAUGUAGUUCUGGUGCCCUAGAACUCACUGUGUAGUCAAGCUGGCCUCCAACUCAUAGAGAUACGCCUGCUUCUGCCUCUGAAGUGCUCAGACUAAAGGUGUAUGCCAGUAUGUCAGCCCAACUUUAAGAUAGUUAUUAAAGGCAUAUAAAGAAGUCUAAUUUUAUCCCUAAAUUUAGUUAUUUAAACAUGUUCAGGUACCUGUACAGAUGAGAAGCGGUGAACUACUAUGUGGAAAUGAGUCCAGGUCAUUUACUUAGUCAUAGUAAAGCUGGAAAUAAUAGGAAGGUCUUUGGAAUGGUUAGAGAUAUUAGUAAAAGAAAAAUGGAAAAGUCUAUUACGUGCUGUUAAGAUUUUGUGCAGUACCUGUCUAGUAAAAACCUGAAUAUGCCUCAUAAAGUCGGGCAGACUCAACAAAACCUCAUGAGGACUUGGGGCAACAACCCUAGGGAGUACAGACUCUUAGAAAGAUAAUUGUACUAUCUGGUUAAAGGACUAAUUAUUACUCCUAUCACUUUAGUGUGGCUCAAGGUAAGCCCACCUUCCUGAGUGAUUGUCCCUUGGCCAAGCACAUGACUCAGCCCAACUGGAUUAAUUUGUAAGGGAGGAGACAAUGGCAUGCCUGCACCCAGAGGACAACUUGAGCAGAAUCUAAGAGAUUCCUUUAAUUACAAGGUGCAAAUGUCUGCUUGGCAUUAGAUUUGCUGUCUCUUUGGAAGGUGUGCCGCAUCUUUAGAAAAUCUGUAUCCUUUAUGCCUGCUGCUACCCCCAGAAUCUUAAGACAAGGGUUGGACUACAGUGAUCACUGAGUAGGAGCUUCGUCUUUAAAAUCUGGGGUGUGCUGUUAUGGUUGGUAUUCAUUUUCCUUUACCCGCUUUCCCCAUACCUCCAUUUAUAAUUUUAUUGCUGCUCAUAGCUCCAGAAGGAUAUAGUAACAGAGCAGGCAUGGCCUCAGUGUGGUAAGCUAAGUGAGAACAGGAAGUGGAACCAGGGUAGAAAACCCCAGUCUUGCCCCUAGUGACACACCUCAAGCAAGGUUCUCCUUCUGAAAGGUCCCAUUACAUUCCCAAAUGUAGCCACCACCUGGGAUAUGAGUGUUCAAAUACAUGAGGUAGGGCCACGGUGUUCCUUCAAAGCACCACAGAGGGCAGAAUGUACACCCUGCUAGAAUAGCUUUCUAUGAAAGGAUCCAUCUCUUCACUGGAGCAGGCAGACAUAUGAAGAAGACAACUUGGAGUGGUCGUGAAAGGAUUUGAGGUUUGGCAUGGACUCUAAGAAGCACGAGAUUUGUGGUUUUCCUUCUUUGUUUCUUGCUAGGUAGUCCUGGCUGUCUAGUAACUACCUACAAAGAUCAAGGAGACCCCAAUCUUGUAGCAAUCCUGCUGCUGCCUCACAAUUGUUAGGAUUAUAGACAUGGGCACAUGUUCAUUAGAAAGUUGCACUGUUCUCUAAUUCAUCUUUUAAGAUAAACUAUAGAGGGAUGAAGAUUAGCAUGUUACACCACCACAGAUAGAAACCAUUCUAGUAUCACGAAACAUCCAACUCAUGUAGAAUUUCCAUUCGCUGUUUGGGAUGAUAGAGAGAUGGAAUUGAGUUUUUAGAAGGUAAACCACACAAGAGAGUCUAGGGAACUGACAGAGCCUGGCUGGACUGCACAGUUCGUCCUCAAACGACUUUUUACUGACCCAGCUCCUGAGGAAAGGACCCUGGUGUCUGAACUUCAACGCUGAUUUAAUAAUCAUUGUUUUCAUGACUGGUCCUUUAGAAAUCUGGCCUGCUUUAUAUUUGCCCCUGGGGCUUAGACAAGGGAGAAAAAUGGAAAAUACUGUCCGAGGUAACCACAGCCACACAGAACCUCAUACACCAAGUGGUUAGCCUUAUCAUAGAGCACAGGUGCCUGUUCUCAGUCACAUGCUAGCCCUGUCUUAGGAUUUUGUUUACAUUAACCAUUCUAUUUCACAGUAUUAAUGUCCUUAUACACAAGAUACACAGAAAUCUUUGUUGUGUUAGACAUCAACAAUGAAAAAUCCCUCAGGCCCAAAUAUCAGAAGAUAGCACGAAAAUACCAAGUCAGAACGAAGAGGGUGGCCAGUGGAUUUGAAGGUAGAUGCAGACUUUAUCAUGGUUACUCCUACAAUACAGAACAUUCUUGUUUAUUAGUCUGAUACCAGCCAUCUGAUGUCAUGUUGGCAACUAGAGAAGCUUUAUAUAAGAACAGGAGCUCUGUAAGAAAAUAUUGUAGGAAUUAGGCUUUAUAAGACAAUCGUGGCCCUUGGCAGUCUUGGUUAAGUCUCUUAGGAUGGUUAGGGUAGAACUUAGGUGUGAAAAGUCUUGACUUUCAAUUAUUCUACAUUGAAUUCCCAGAACACCUGAGUCAAGCUUUAUUGUGUUUAUUACCCUUGGUCUUGCCUCCUCAUUCUUGUGUGGACUCCUUAACUCCUGCCUCUCUUUACCCAACCCAAAUGUGUUUCAGCAAUCUUCUUUCCCUGCCCAGUACUGGAUCUGUGAAAAGCUGAAUCAUGAAUCAGUGAGUGUGCGGAUUGGAACCCAAGUUGCUCUCUGGAUAGAACGAAAGGAGUCGUGCCCCAAGAAGAUGGAGAGGGAAGUUAUGAAAUGCUGUGACCAAAUAACAAAUGCUGAUGUUUGGGGAGAUAACUGUUUCCCAUAGGAAAUAGAGUGAAUGCGAUGUCUUUCUUUUGUGAGGGAUUCAUAGACCGCUUCUCAACGCUUGUUACAUGUUACUCCUUUUUUCGAGAUUUUUAUUUACCUAACUGGGAAAGAAACCAGAACAAGGUUUUCAUUGAAUUCUGAUACAGGUAUUUAAAGACUUACGGACAAGAUAUAGAAGAAGAAGUGGUAAUUAACUGAUUAAAGAAGUACAGUUUAUAUCCAGUAGACAGACAGGCUCCAGACAUCCUUAGUGCUGUCUUAGCAUCAAAGGUUAAUCUACCUAAUACUUGUCAUCCUGAAAUGCAUGGUGGAACAUCCAACAGACAAGAGCUACUUCAGGGAAGGACUAUGAUUUUUGUCGUGGAAGACAUUUAACACAGGGCAGCUCCUGUGCACUUACAUGAUAGAUAUUGCUCUUCCGGGGACUCUGAAUGCUCAUCCCACUUUCAGCUCACUAGGCACAUCGAACUAGAAAUUUUAUCAUCUCGUGAAUUAGUCCAAUACCUGAAGGAGCAAGAGAACCAACACCCAGUUGACAAGAAUAUGACCUGUUGAUUGAAGACCAUUAAGAAAGUAACUUGAUUCAGUUGGACUGGACUUUUUUAUUCUAUUGAAAAAGGAAUUUAUUUCCCCUCAGUGAACGUAACAUGAUCAACAUUUUGAAAGUUGUGAACAUGCAUAGUUCUAUAAUUUACAAAAUAAUUAUAAAAAUCUGAGUAUGGAUGCAGCAUAAUUUCAGAACAGAAUAGCCAUCAUACUUUUUAUAUAUCUUAAAUUCGAGUUUUCAAGAGUAUAUUUCUAUGUUAUAUCCUUUGAUUAGUACAAUAUAAAAUCUACAUCUAAUAUGUACUUCAGGUUUUAUUAGAUCAUGCCAUAUUACUGUACAAUUUGGACUUUUCCAUUUUUAUAUAAAAUGUAACAUGCAUUGUACAUUAAUAUUUAUAUAUCUUGUUUAUUUAUAUAUCUUUAGAAUUAAUUUCUGCCAAUUAUUUUCUUUAUUUGAAUACUUGGGGUAUCAUAAAGGUGCUGUUGAGGUAUUCUCAAUAUGCUUGUACAACUUCCUGCCUGUAGUUAAUAAAUGUGGAUAUUUCAUUAAACAAUUGAAAUAUAGCUGGCUGAGCUUUUUAAAGAUGGCUAUUCUGAAUUCUUCACAGAUGGCACAGUGUCAGAAUCGUGUGUGGCCUCCUGCUGCCUGAACCAUGCCGCUAAGACAGUUGCCCACUGUGCAGCUUCACACCAUCUGCAGAGAGCAACACUGCAGAGCCUUUGGGAGAGCCUUGCCAGUCGCUGAAAGCCUGGCUGACUGCCAAGCCUUGCACUGUAGACUGAAAAUUGCUCUCUUUGCUGAGCUCAGUACUAACACUUAGAUCUUCAUGGUCUCCUGGGAGACCAUGUCAGCUGCUGUUCAGUGAGAUAAAUUUGGAUCAGCUGAAGAUAUGCACUCUCUAUGCCUUCCUUGACUGUCAGCUAAACAGUGUGCACUCCUGGCUUAGUACAGCCUUGGCUGCUGAGAGCCCCAUUCCUCCCCUGUGCUCUUCAUUGUCCUCAUGAUCUGGCUUUCAUCAUCCAUUAUACUCCUAACACUGGGAGUGAAGUGUCAUUGAAGAAUGUUCAUCAGGCACUACCUCAAAGGGCUGGAGAUGAUUGGUGAAUGCUUUGAUUCUUCAUUCCUCCUAGGACACAUAUCAAGCCCCCAGAAUUUCUCUCUAUCCAGUUGCACCAGUGUGAGGAACUUGACGGUGUCAGGAAAGUGAAACUGCUUCUCUGCUCCAUAUAAAUGUCUGUGCAGAUGCAAAGCCAUGCAUUACAUGGUAGCUCACCUUUAAUCCUAGCACUCAGGAGACAGAGGCAGGAGGAUCUCUCCGAGCUCAAGGCCAGCCUGGUCUUCACAGUGAGUUCCAGGACAGCCAAGGCUACACAGGAAUCCUGUGUACAGGUCCUUGGUAUUGCACUCCUCUCUAUAAACACAACUUGCUUUUAGAAUGUGUGGUUGUUAAGUUGUUCUGUGAAGGAUGGAUAAAGGCUAGCUCACUACUACACCCGUCAGCUUGCUCCUGUCACUUCUUCUCACCUUUGAGCACUUAGCAUCCCUCUCCGUGUUGUCUUUGCUGAAAUGCUUGCUAAGGCGAAGCUCCUCUGUAGCUGUCCUCUAGCCCCAGCCAAGAUUCUUUCAAGAUUUUUCUUUGGCCUUCUGUAAUUUGAAUAUGAUGAAUGUUUUUAUUUACUACUUCAUUUUGUAUUUUGAAUCUUUUUUAAACCAUGCCAGGUUCUCUAGGCUCCUGGUUCUGAUAUGAAUUGAGCGAUUAUCUUAGGCCCUUGUGUUUCAAAUCUUUCUUUCUUUCUUUCUUUCUUUCUUCCUUCCUUCCUUCUUUUCUUUUCUUUUCUUUUCUUUUUUUUUUUUGAGACAGGGUUUCUCUGUAUAGCUCUGGCUGUCCUGUAACUCACCCGGUAGAUCAGGCUGUCCUUGAACUCAGAAAUCCGCCUGCCUCUGCCUCCCAAGUGCUGGAAUUAAAGUCAUGUGCCACCACUGCCCGGCUUACUCAAAUAUUUCCUUUUUUUUUUCAGUCCUCUCUAGUGAUCUCAUUAUACAUGUGUAUAUUCUCUAGUUGUCCCAGUUAUAUGAUGUUCUUCUCUCUCUCUCUCUCUUCCCCCCACCCUGUGUGUGUGUGCGCGUGCAUGCGCGCGUGCAUGUACCCAAGGAAACUAGAAAAGGACUUCAACUCCUUGACGAAGGAGGUACAAGCAUUUGUCAGCCACCUGAUACAGGUAGCAGAAUCUAAACUCUGAUCCACAUUAUUAAGCAGCAAGUGCUGUUACCUGCUAAACUAUCUCGCUGAAAUUUAUCUCUUAGAAAGUUUCUAAUAUAUUAUCACUGUCAGGGAUUCUUUGGCUUGGUUCAGUCUGCUAAUAAGCUUAGGAAAGGCAAUUUUCAUUUUGUUGCAAUAUUUUUGAUCUGUAGCUUUUGUUGUUAUUCUUGUUCAUUUUUCAAACCAGGGUUUCUCCACGGCUAUACUGGAACUCUCUGUAGACUAGGCUGGCCUCAAACUCUCAAAUAUCUCACUGCCUCUGCCUCCCAUGUUCUGGGAUUAUAUCCCUCCACUGCCCAACAGCAUUUAUUUUAUUCUUAAGAUUUGUUUUUCCCUGCUCGUUUGUUUGUUUGUCUGUUUGUUUGGUAUGGUCAUUUGUUUGUUUGUUUUGAUGUAUUUGAACUUGCUAUCUUUAUGUGAGGAUAAGCCUAAGUGUGUAAUAUUUCUGUACUCAUCUCCCAAAUGCUGAAAUGUAGACACGAACCACCACACACUAGGUUUGUUUGGUUUUCUUUUGCAUGCAUUUAUUGUAUUGUGUACAGUACUGGUACCAAAGGAGUCCAUCACAUUCUCUAGAACUUGAAUUACAGAUGGUUGUGAGUUGUCACAUGGUGCUGAGAAUUAAACUUGAUCUUCUUCUUUUUUAAAUUUAAAUUUCUUCACUUACAUUUAAAAUGCUAUCUGAAAAGUCCCCCAUUACCCCCCCCCCUCACUCCCCUACCUACCCACUCCCACUACUUGGCCCCGGUGUUCCCUGUACUGGGGCAUAUAAAGUUUGCAAGACCAAGGAGCCUCUCUUCCCAAUGAUGGCCGACUAGGCCAUCUUCUACAUAUGCAACUAGAGACACAAGCUCUGGGGUACUGGUUAGUUCAUAAUGUUAUUCCACCUAUAGGGUUGCAGACCCCUUCAGCUCCUUGGGUACUUGCUCUAGCUCCUCCAUUGGGGACCCUGUGUUCUAAACUUGAUCUUCUGAAGAGUAACCACUAUUGAUUUUAACUGCUAAGUCAUGUCUCCAGUCCCAAAAGAGGUUUUUUUGUUUGUUUGUUUUUCAUUACUGUGAUGAUCCUAUAAUGAAGAAGAGAAUGCUGGUGGUUUGUUUAUGUGUUUGUUUGUUUUUUGAGACAGGGUUUCACUGUGUGUCCUUGGCUGCCCUGGAAUUUAAGCAUCAGACUGGCCUUGAUCUCACAGAGAUCUGCCUACUUUUGCGCUGAGAUUAAAGGUCUGCACUAACACCUCCCAGCCAGAUGUCUCUUUAACAGACUGACUUUACUUCCUCACGAGUAUUAUGAUGGUUUCUUCCUGUCCUGUGAGGAAUGCUAUUGAUUUGGGGUUUGGUUUGUGGAAUUUUUGUUUUCUGGUUUUUUGUAAUUUUUCCCCCCUAAAUAUCAUGCUGUCUUAUUCUUUGG